rnacentral:rRNA from 1 species
UACGUAGGUCCCGAGCGUUGUCCGGAUUUAUUGGGCGUAAAGCGUGCGCAGGCGGCCCGUUAAGACAGGUGUGAAAUCCCUGGGCUCAACCUAGGAAUUGCGCUUGUGACUGGCGAGCUAGAGUAUGGCAGAGGGUGGUGGAAUUCCUGGUGUAGCAGUGAAAUGCGUAGAGAUCAGGAGGAACACCGAUGGCGAAGGCAGCCCCCUGGGCCUGUACUGACGCUCAUGCACGAAAGCGUGGGGAGCAAACAGG